CGAGUUGGCCGGGCGGCCGCGGCACCCGUGAGGGUGUCGAGGAAAGUCCGGACUUCACAGAGCAGGGUGAUUGCUAACGGCAAUCCGAGGUGACUCGCGGGAAAGUGCCACAGAAAACAGACCGCCAGCAAUGGUAAGGGUGAAACGGUGCGGUAAGAGCGCACCAGCACCCCGGGUGACCGGGGUGGCUAGGCAAACCCCACCCGAAGCAAGGCCAAGAAGGCCGCAACCUGGUUGCGGCCGCGCAGGCGCCCGAGGGUUGCUCGCCCGAGCCUGCGGGUAGGCCGCUUGAGGUGCCCGGCGACGGGCCACCCAGAUGGAUGGUCGCCGCCCCGCCGCCAGAGAUGGCGGCGGGGAACAGAAUCCGGCUUACAGGCCAACUCGUUCG
rnacentral:RNase_P_RNA from 1 species